AGCUCCCAGCAGAUUCAUCCUUGUGCCUUGGUGGCCCUUUCCCUCUCACGGGGCAAACUGGUCCAGAAGGACCCGGCAGGACUGAGCAGCAGCUGACUGCAGGAAGGGAAGGCUCCUCAGCUCCCCUGAGUGGGGAAGCUGGCACUUCAGGGCUGGAGCCUGCCGAGCCCCAGGCUGGUUAUCGAGCUGUCUCACGAAGUAUGACUCAAGUGACAUCUUUACUGAUCUCAUCAAAGUCUUUUCCAGAGGCAUCAAGGAAAGAUGGAGAGAUAAGGACUUGGUAAUGUUGAGAUCUGGAACAUAUUAAAAAAACAGGCAUUGCUAACUGAGCGCAAGGCAAUAGGAAUGUGUCAGCAGGAUGAGGGCUGCCCAGCAGAGUCCAAGGGAGGCGGCAGGAUGCCAUCUGUCUGAGUGAAGACUCCAACAGAACCCUGGCAUAUUAUGAGGAUUUCUAAUAUGAAAAUAGGCACAGGAGAAUUUCAGAAGUCUCCUCAGGUCUUGCAGUGGUCUCAAGCCUUGGAUAUUGCAAUUAAAAAAAGAUUUUGAUCUACUCAUGCCUCUUCGCUGAAUAUCUGAACAAACUAUUAUGAUUUUUCAUAAAGAGGAAUAGUCUACUGUCAGGAAUUGGACUUAACAAAUCAGCUAAUGUAAGUUUACAGACCUUGCAGGAAAAAUAAAAA